GUGGGGAAUAUUGCGCAAUGGGCGAAAGCCUGACGCAGCGACGCCGCGUGAGGGAUGAAGGUUUUCGGAUCGUAAACCUCUGUCAGAAGGGAAGAAACUACAUUGUGCUAAUCAGCAGUGUACUGACGGUACCUUCAAAGGAAGCACCGGCUAACUCCGUGCCAGCAGCCGCGGUAAUAUGGAGGGUGCAAGCGUUAAUCGGAAUUACUGGGCGUAAAGCGCACGUAGGCUGUAGUGUAAGUCAGGGGUGAAAUCCCACGGCUCAACCGUGGAACUGCCUUUGAUACUGCACAACUUGAAUCCGGGAGAGGGUGGCGGAAUUCCAGGUGUAGGAGUGAAAUCCGUAGAUAUCUGGAGGAACAUCAGUGGCGAAGGCGGCCACCUGGACCGGUAUUGACGCUGAGGUGCGAAAGCGUGGGGAGCAAACAGGAUUAGAUACCCGGGUAGUCC
rnacentral:rRNA from 1 species